UUCCGGUUGAUCCUGCCGGACCUGACUGCUAUCGGAUUGAUACUAAGCCAUGCGAGUCAUUGUAGCAAUACAAGGCAUACGGCUCAGUAACGCGUAGUCAACCUAACCUAUGGACGGGAAUAACCUCGGGAAACUGAGAAUAAUGCCCGAUAGAACAUUAUGCCUGGAAUGGUUUAUGUUCCAAAUGAUUUAUCGCCGUAGGAUGGGACUGCGGCCUAUCAGUUUGUUGGUGAGGUAAUGGCCCACCAAGACUAUUACAGGUACGGGCUCUGAGAGGAGUAGCCCGGAGAUGGGUACUGAGACACGGACCCAGGCCCUAUGGGGCGCAGCAGGCGAGAAAACUUUGCAAUGUGCGAAAGCACGACAAGGUUAAUCCGAGUGGUUUCUGCUAAAGGAACCUUUUGUCAGUCCUAGAAACACUGAUGAAUAAGGGGUGGGCAAGUUCUGGUGUCAGCCGCCGCGGUAAAACCAGCACCUCAAGUGGUCAGGAUGAUUAUUGGGCCUAAAGCAUCCGUAGCCGGCUCUGUAAGUUUUCGGUUAAAUCUGUACGCACAACGUACAGGCUGCCGGGAAUACUGCAAAGCUAGGGAGUGGGAGAGGUAGACGGUACUCGGUAGGAAGGGGUAAAAUCCUUUGAUCUAUUGAUGACCACCUGUGGCGAAAGGCGGUCUACCAGAACACGUCCGACGGUGAGGGAUGAAAGCUGGGGGAGCAAACCGGAUUAGAUACCCGGGUAGUCCCAGCUG
rnacentral:rRNA from 2 species